GCUUGUAUGGAUUAGUGGUACAGUGUCUGCCUGCCAUGCAUAAGGCUCUGGGUUCAAUUCCCAGCACACACA
rnacentral:tRNA from 1 species